rnacentral:rRNA from 1 species
CAAGGCUUGACAUCCUCUUGAAAAGCUUAGAGAUAAGCUCCCUCUUCGGAGCAAGGGAGACAGGUGGUGCAUGGUUGUCGUCAGCUCGUGUCGUGAGAUGUUGGGUUAAGUCCCGCAACGAGCGCAACCCCUAUUAUUAGUUGCCAGCACUUCGGGUGGGCACUCUAAUGAGACUGCCGGUGAUAAACCGGAGGAAGGUGGGGAUGACGUCAAAUCAUCAUGCCCCUUAUGUCUUGGGCUACACACGUGCUACAAUGGUCGGUACAACGGGGUGCGAAGGAGCGAUCUGGAGCGAAUCCCAAGAAGCCGAUCUCAGUUCGGAUUGUAGGCUGCAACUCGCCUGCAUGAAGUUGGAGUUGCUAGUAAUCGCGAAUCAGAACGUCGCGGUGAAUGCGUUCCC